CUUGGCCAUAGUGCCUUUCCCAGCAGCUGGGCUGUCUGCUUGGCUACUUUUCACACUCCUGUGUGGCCAGGGAAGGGGGAUAUGGACGGUCACCAGGGGCUGAUCCAGCACAGAGUCCGGGAGUUACUGGGAGACAGAACAUGUGACUGCUAUGUCACAGCAGCUUGCUGGCUAAUGAUGGCUCUGUCUCAGCUCAGUGCUGGCUCCUGAGAGUUGUUGGGCUCGGAGUGUCCAGGUUAGCUUGGCAGCCAGCCCACUUAACAGACACAUGUCUUAGACAAGCAGCCUUCUCCCAGGAAUUUUGUGUGGCAGCCUUUUUGAUAAGCAAAAGAGGAGAAUAGCUGGCAGUGGCUAUCAGCUCUUCCUCGUUGAGCACCUGAUGCCCAAGUGUGACAGGGUGUGGGAAAAGCUGAGCACCAUCUUCUGGAAGCAGCAAAUAUAAACCCACAACAGCAACAGAUGCCAGACCUGAUGCCCUACCUGGGAGCACUGUGACAAAGCCUGAUUUCUGUCUGGCUGCUCUUCUUUGUUGCUGCAUGCCUGGGGAUGAGCUCAGCCAACAUGUAGCCGUGGCUAACCUGGGCAUGCAGUGGACCGAGCUCUGAGGGAUCUGUGCACUGUGCAGAUGAGCUGGAGAGUGGGAUGGGCUGCACAGUCAUUCCUGGGGGCAACAGCAACAUGAUUCUCAGCGAUGGUCAGUGUUUGGCUCCCGUAUGCUGUGCAGGAGAACAGGAUUUGCCAUCAGGGCUGGCAAGAAGGACUGGGCUGGGUCAGCCUGGCAGGAGGCAGGAUGAUGCCUGUGAGACCCAGUUAGAGGCUGCCUAUAAAUCCAGUGUAGGUUGCUGCCUGGUAAGCUCAGCCCACAGCCACCUGCAAACCUGCAGAAGAGAGGGCUGCAUCUCCCCAGGCUAUUCCUGCAGUCUCUAUGCUUUGAUAUGGCUCCCCCUUUUGUGUUUGUUCCCUCUCCCCUGGUCUAACCUCUGAAACAGUUGCAGUGAAUCACAUACUUUCCCUAUUAACCCACCAGCCAGUGCUGCUGGCUCAGAUAGUGGCAGGGACAAUGUGAACUUUCCAGUUCCUCUCAAAAUCACAGAGGACAGUGAGGGACCCCUGGAAAUGCUCUGGAUGCAUCUGUAGGACCAGCUUGUGCCAUGCUCACCUCUGGUGUGAUCUACCCCCAGAUCUCUCCCAAGAGAGCCCACCUGUAUCACUCAGGGCAGAUGACAAAGCUCUUUGAAAGUGCCUUGGGGUUGAAGAUGGAGCCCUGUGACUCCUGUGAGCUGCAGAACAAGGAGACAUUCAUCUUCAGUCUCUUCCCUUGCGGAUGGUGGAGAGGAGGGUCUUGUUCAGGAAGGGCAGUGGCUUCCCAACCCAAGGCUUGAAAUUGCUGCUGUGGGGAAUGCCUGUGGUGUAGGUACCAGCAAGCCCAUGGAAAUCCUCCUCAGUAUGUACAGAUGCGGAGGCGUGUGGAGAUGAGGGGGCUCUGCUCUGGAGCAUUAGCUGCCCUGGGCUUGGUUUUUUCACCAGCUCCAAAUUUGUGAAGUGAUGAGUGGCAUGGCUCCAUUUCCCCACACGGCCCCUUUCCCUCUCCCCUCCUUCCAGGCUUGUUGUGUGUCUUUAUUGAUUUGGAUGGUUUGUCUGAGUGAGAGUUCAAAUGUCUCACUAUCCCCAUGAGUGGGCAAGCAAACAGACAAACAGAUAUGAUCCUGGAAUGUAGACAUGAGUGAUGACCCACAGAUUAUCCUGAGUGUGUGUUUGUAUGCCUCUGUUCUUCUGUGCCCCUCUGCAUGUACUCUUCCUCUUCCUUUACCAUUUUAGUUUUUUCGCCUCUCCUUGCUGCUCUGUUUCUCCAUCCUGCUUCACCCUCUCCCUCUCUCUCCUGCCCUCCUCCUCAUUCUCUUUUUCUCAUUUGAUAUUCAUGCAUGAAUAAAUUCAAUUGCAUUUUUCCCUGUUCCCCCUGAAGGGGCUUGUUGGUGAAUUGCCAGCAUCUGAAAUCAUAUAAUGCUCAGAUUCAUCAUUUUGGGGACAGAAUUGAAACCCUUCUAUUUCUCAGGAAGGAAUAACAGAUGCUUUUCAUGAAGAGAGGGAGUAGCGAGUGUCUUGUGUCUCGUGGCUGGUGAGGAAGAAGCCAAGGGAAUUAACUUUGGCAGCACAGGGUGGACUUGCUAGCAGAGGGGACUAGAAGGUCAACCAGCCCCUCUGGUGUGAGGCACACAUAGGUGUGUGCAUAUGGAGUGUGAGUGCCUAUGUUUGCUGGCAUGUUUGCUACGUGUGGUGCUAGUGGUGCACUUAGGGAUGGGUAAUAUCUCUUAGCGGGCUGCCCAGAAUUGGUUGCAGCAGGAGCUGUCUCGGUGGGGUGUCAGCAGUCUGGCACCAGGGUAUUUAGAGCCAUUGUCUAGAGAUCUGCCUGGGCAUCUGCCUCAGGCGACUUUUGGGACACUUACAUGGCUCUGGUAUCACCCCAAACUACUGUGGGUCUGGAGUUGUGCCCAGCAGCACAUCUCCAUCACACUGAGAAGCUGAGGUUGUUAUGUCACAAAAUCAUGCCCAUCCUGCACAUUGAGGGGCUUCCUGAUGUGGAUGGGCACUUGUUGUCUCCCUGCUUCGACAUGGGAGCCUUCCAGCUCAUGCAGGACAGUGAACCCAGGGGCCCAAAGUGAUCAGAUCCUGCACAGCUUCAAUACAAACAGGCUCUGACCCAUUGUGGGAAGAAGUCUGACCACCACAAAAAUUUUUUUUCCUUGGAAAAAAAUCUCUUUCCAUCUUGUGGAAGAUGCAUAAGUUCACCAUGGAACUGCAGCCCUGGUCAGAAGACAUGGAAAAAGAAAGGCUGUACUUAUCUGAGGAAGGGCUGUUUUUCAUGAGAGCUGUUAAUCAGGUAAAUUUGAUGCUCACAACAUUCCCAUUAUUUACAACAUAACUAUUUUUUUUUUUUAGCAGUCCUGGUAUAGCCUGAGGAUCCUCUGAGGACUGUGUUUGCCUUUCAGGAGAGGUAACAAGAUUAGACACUUUAUUAAGCACAAAAGUGUUAUGCUAAAAGCGGACAGCAGCCAUCGUCUUUGUUCAAAAGACUUUUAAGGGCCUCAUGAGAGAGAGUGACAUGCCAACCACCUUGCUCCAAGGCUCCAAGGAGCUUGGCUGAUGUGAUGUAAAUGGCUAGAGGCUCCUUGACAUCUGCCUCACAUCCCUGGCAUGACAAAGCCAAGCCACACAGACAUGAAUGGCAGAGGAGAGGAUACCUACUGGGUGUUUUUCACCCUAAAUGGUGAAGGCAUGUGAGCUACCUUGAGCUAAAACCAGAGUGGUUCUGACUUUACCAGAAGGUGGGCUUGCUCCAUUGGCUUCCCACAGAGAGUUAACCGUCCGAGGGUUUCACAGUAUGACUAAAGUGCUUGGUUUCCCAGCCAUUUGUAGUUUAGAUGUGUUAAUUACUCUGACCCAGCUAUUCCAGCCAUGCACGAACAGCUGUGAUAGUUGGUGCAGAUAUCGUCGUGGCAAGGAAGGUUUGGUUUGGAGAGGCUUUGUGUAUCCCCGCAAGGAAGCCGAGGUGCUUUUGGGCUGUAGUGCGUGUUGUACCAUACCUCAACUGGUAACUUGGCAAUUUUUAGCUCCUUAUUUACAAUAUAUGCCCACAGCAGAAGCAGGAAUGUCUACUUCUCAUAACACCAGGGGUUUUAUUGUCUGAACAGGCAAAAUCCGUGAAAAGCCUUGAGGACUGUGAUGGCUUCAUCUCUUUCCCAGACCUGACUCAGGGGUCCCCAGCAGAAAAAUGUUCCAAGAAUUAGGGCCCUGUGCUGACACAGGGUAGGGCUGCUCAGCCUUGGAAUGGGACCUGCGGAGGAGAUGCUGGGCUAGCCAUCCAUUGGAUGAGGCUGAGGGCAGCUCUACUCUGUUUAGGCACUGGAAGGUGGGAUCCCUGCAUAUUAUCCAUCCCCCUCAUUUCCCCCUGGAUAUAUUGUUCCCACCGUCUGAGUUCCCGUAACAGAUCUAGUAGUAGGAUAGGGGGAAAGAAGAGACUGGUUUUGAGGAAAGGACUUUGGGGGGGGAUCGUUAGUUUAUUUUUUUAACUCUUCCCAAGGGAUAAUUCUCUAACCUGCUUGAUCUGUGACUUGUGGAGGGACAGAUGUUUACAAGUUCAGGGAAAGGCAGGCACACUGAAAGCCUGUGUCCAUCAGAAAAGGAAUGAUGAGUGGGCUGAAGGCAAGGACAAAUCAGCUGUCCUGAGACCCCACCACGGAUGUGAGUGUGUGAUGGUGUACAAGGAGAUUUCUUCCUUUCCCCCAGUGUUGUUAGAAUUCCUGCAUUCUCUACCUCUAAUUGUAGGUUUCCCCAGAAGACAUUUGGUGUCACUGUAAGGACGGCGUUUCACUCUCCCUCUCUGCCUGUACAGUUAUUCUCGCUCUCUCACUGUGCAGUUUGCUCCAUAAGCUGUUGGUGAACAUAUCAUGAGACAGAGAGAGAGAGACAGACAGGCAGAAACCACAUACCAGCCCUUCCUCCUCACUUUCCCAUCAUGGAAUAGCUAACCUUGCCCUCACCCACACCUCCAUCACCUCUCAGCAUCCCACAAAUAUUUUGACCCUCUCUGGUCUUUUUGGCAGGAAGCUUCAGUCACUUCUUAACACCACCUGCCUGGAAAAACAUACAGACAAAGCCUCCCCAAACCCUUCUGAGAAGGAAUAGGUCCUUUUUUAAACCUCUUUUCAUUUGCUCUGACCCUGGAGCUUCAGACUCCAGCCUGAGCAGCUACAAUUUCUUACCAUGUAUUCCCCUUUUAAACCGUCUCCUUCCUGCACACGCUCAGUCCUUGCAGGCACGGAUCUAACACAACUCCUCGCUUCUCGCCGGCAGGUUCUUUGCUCCCCAUCACUCAGCUGAUCCUGAUCUUUUUUUUCCUAUCCUCCCCUCCCCGGGCACUGAGGUGUGUGUAUCUGUGUGUGAGUGUGCCUGUGUGCAAGGGGGGAGGUGGGGGGCCUUUUUUUUUCUUGGUAGAGGGAUUUUUUCAGCGCAUCCUCAUUAUUAUUUUAUUUUGAUUCUCUGACUUGGACACUUCUCUCCUGGAGACUGCUUUUCCAUGCAAAGGGGUUAUCACUUGCGGCGGGCAUGGCAGAGUACAUCCCCCAGCCUCCUUCCACCUGGCCUGCAGGCCCACAGCCCCCUCACACUUCUGCCCUCUGCCCUCUGGAGCCUGUGGAUCUGGGGAUCUCAGAACAACAAACACCACCGGAGCAGCCGCCGUCCUCCCCAGAGCUGGGUGAGGAUGAAGAAGCCACCUCCCCACCAGAUCCUGAUGUUCCCUACCCUGACUUGGCCCCAGUUGUCUUCUUCUGCUUGAAGCAGACCACAAGCCCACGGAGCUGGUGCAUCAAAAUGGUGUGCAACCCAUAUCCUUUUUGAGCUGCCCCUUCUCCCUCCCCACCUCUGGCUCCCUCCUGCCCCAUCAUGUCUUCACACUGCCCUUCUAGGGCACCUGGCAGGCAAGGAAUGACAUUUCCUACAUAUUUAAUGACCUUCUUUGUUCGUUCAUCAGUUGCACUUUAACAGAAUGUCUGCUGUUUUAGUGUAUGUUCAAAAGAAACUCAUUAUGAAAGAAGGACUUCAGAGAGAGCUGCUGACAGUCCCAGGCACAGGGUACAGGGUGAGACGAGAGUGGAGAUGUGAAGAGAGGAAUAUUAGAAAGGCCUGUUCUUCCCCUUCCCAGCUCCCUUUUUGCCAGGGACAGAGCAGGAGUUGCUAGCCCAGGAGCUUGUCAGAGACUGCCAUGAAUGGCAGGGGUGUCUGACCAUACAGGUUUUAGUGAGAUCAUCUUGCCCUUGGUGAGGGAACCACCACUCCUCCUGUACCUCGAUUGGAGGGAUACCUAGGCAACCCCUUGCCUUUCCGUCUAGCACAUGUCACUGUCCUGCCAGUGCCUCGUCAUGAUGUCUGACUGGGAACAAAUGGGAGAAUCUAUUCAGAGUCUGAUGCUGAGCUUCAUACACCCAGUGAGAGAUCCCUAGGACAUAAGCACAUCCUUCCUUUCCAUGGGUCAGCAACCACAUACAUGUGUCACCAUUCAUACUCAGUGCCUUGAUUGCAGGGAGGCCCCUUGCAACCCAUCACUGCAAAUGAUGGCCACCUGCAUGGCUCGUUAGCUCUGAGCCUGCCAGGAGGGCAACGGCCUUUGUGGCUCCUCAGCGCGAUGCCAUAUGAAGACCAGGUGGAGAGCAUUUGCUAUUCUUUGGACUGUGGAACCAUUCGUGGUGGGGAGAAAGUGGAGAAGAUGAGUCAUCAGAGAGGUUGGUCUGAAGUUUUAUGUGACCCUUUUUCUGGCCAGAAAUCUCAAGUGAUGGUGCUUUCUACCUGGAAGUUUCUUAGUUCCUGGUUAGGUGAAAAUUAUUGAUAAAGGUGAUUGUUCUGGUUUUGAUGCAUUGGCUUCUAGAUUAAAUUUGAGUGUCUGGGCACAAAGCAGAGACUAGCAAAGUGUU